rnacentral:rRNA from 1 species
GAUGAACGCUGGCGGCGUGCCUAAUACAUGCAAGUCGAGCGAACGGACGAGAAGCUUGCUUCUCUGAUGUUAGCGGCGGACGGGUGAGUAACACGUGGAUAACCUACCUAUAAGACUGGGAUAACUUCGGGAAACCGGAGCUAAUACCGGAUAAUAUUUUGAACCGCAUGGUUCAAAAGUGAAAGACGGUCUUGCUGUCACUUAUAGAUGGUUCCGCGCUGCAUUAGCUAGUUGGUAAGGUAACGGCUUACCAAGGCAACGAUGCAUAGCCGACCUGAGAGGGUGAUCGGCCACACUGGAACUGAGACACGGUCCAGACUCCUACGGGAGGCAGCAGUAGGGAAUCUUCCGCAAUGGGCGAAGGCCUGACGGAGCAACGCCGCGUGAGUGAUGAAGGUCUUCGGAUCGUAAAACUCUGUUAUUAGGGAAGAACAUAUGUGUAAGUAACUGUGCACAUCUUGACGGUACCUAAUCAGAAAGCCACGGCUAACUACGUG